rnacentral:rRNA from 1 species
GAUGAACGCUGGCGGCGUGCCUAAUACAUGCAAGUCGAGCGAACAGAUAAGGAGCUUGCUCCUUUGACGUUAGCGGCGGACGGGUGAGUAACACGUGGGUAACCUACCUAUAAGACUGGAAUAACUCCGGGAAACCGGGGCUAAUGCCGGAUAACAUUUAGAACCGCAUGGUUCUAAAGUGAAAGAUGGUUUUGCUAUCACUUAUAGAUGGACCCGCGCCGUAUUAGCUAGUUGGUAAGGUAACGGCUUACCAAGGCAACGAUACGUAGCCGACCUGAGAGGGUGAUCGGCCACACUGGAACUGAGACACGGUCCAGACUCCUACGGGAGGCAGCAGUAGGGAAUCUUCCGCAAUGGGCGAAAGCCUGACGGAGCAACGCCGCGUGAGUGAUGAAGGUCUUCGGAUCGUAAAACUCUGUUAUUAGGGAAGAACAAAUGUGUAGGUAACUGUGCACGUCUUGACGGUACCUAAUCAGAAAGCCACGGCUAACUACGUG